UUUGAUCCUGGGUCAGAUUGAACGCUGGGCGCAUGCCUAAAACAUGCAAGUCGCACGCGAAAGGGGGCAACCCGCAGUAGAGUCGGGGACGGGUGCGUAACCGGUAGGAAUAUACCUGGUAGUGGGGGACAACCCCGGGAAAGCCGGGCUAAUACCGCAUACGAUCUAGCGAUGAAAGCAGGGGACCCGAAGGCCUUGCGCUAUCAGAUUAGCCUGCGUCGGAUUAGCUAGUUGGUGAGGUAACGGCUCACCAAGGCAACGAUCCGUAGCUGGUUUGAGAGAACGACCAGCCACACUGGGACUGAGACACGGCCCAGACCCUUACGGGAGGCAGCAGGUGGGAAUAUUGGACAAUGGGGCGAACCCUGAUCCAGCAAUGCCGGCUGUGUGAAGAAGGCCUUCGGGUUGUAAAGCACUUUCGAUGGGGAAAAACAAGCCAGACCUAACACGUUUGGCCCUGAUGGUACCCAGGAAAGAAGCACCGGCUAACUUUGUGCCAGCAGCCGCGGUAAUACAGAGGGUGCGAGCGUUAAAGGGAAUUACUGGGCGUAAAGGGUGCCUAGGUGGUUUGUUAAGUCAGGCGUGUGGGAAAUCCCCUCAACCUGGGAAUUGCGUUUGAUACUGGCAGACUCGAGUCUGGUAGAGGGUAGUGGAACCCCGCAUGUAGCGGUGAAAUGCGUAGAUAUGCGGAGGAACAUCAGUGGCGAAGGCGGCUACCUGGACCAAGACUGAAACUGAGGCACGAAAGCGUGGGGAUCAAAAAGGAUUAGAAACCCUGGUAGUCCACCCCCUAAACGAUGGGUACUAGACGUUGGGAGGUUUAACCUCUUGGUGUCGCAGCUAACGCAAAAAGUACCCCGCCUGGGGAGUACGGUCGCA
rnacentral:rRNA from 1 species